rnacentral:lncRNA from 10 species
UUGACCAGGCUGGUCUUGAACUCCUGGCCUCAAGCCAUCCUCCCACCUCAGCCUCCCAAAGUGCUGGGAUUACAUGCAUGAGCCACCACAUCCAGCCUCCCUAAAAUAUUGAAUGCUGUUAAUAAAUCUCCUAAGAAGGUGAUGGGCAAAACUAAUGCAGGGUUUCAGUUGUGCAAUUUCACCAUUAGCAAAGCUUUUUGCUGAAAUCUGGAUUUUCAAAGGGAGAGUAUCCAGAAACAGAAGAUGCUGAUCUGGGAGGCUCUUCCUAAUAGAACUGCUGCUUCAGUUUAGCUUGAAAAAGCCCACACUCAGUUCCUAAUGACAAACAUCUGAACACCAGGUCUUCCCACGAGCAAGACCAUGCUAUUCCUCCUGCUCGCUCUGUUCUAUAAGCAACCCACAGAUUGCUCCCUGUGAAGAGGAGCCUGCCAGGGAGCAGCAUUCCACCAGAUCCUGAUUUAGCAAGAUAUUUCCGUAUCAUUCCCCCAACCAGCUGGAAGUCCUCCACUGUUCUUGUGUAAAAAUCUAACUCAUCUCGCUGAAUUUCCUGAUUUAAAAGUCUAAUUCAUUUCACCAAAAGUGUGACAGAAGGAAACCAAGUACACCAUCUCUCUCUUACCAAACCAAAGCUAUUGCAUGUGCAUUCUGGGAGAAAAAAAUGGUCCAAAUAUGUUAUGGAGGGGGUGCCAGCCCAGUGUCAUCCUCUUACUAUUGCCAUAGGAUCUUGGCUGAUGGCAUCAGAAGAAAAACAAGUUUAUCGAUUACUUUCAACCAUUAAGCUCACUCCUCCAUGAAAAAUAAGUCACAAGUCCAAUGUCUCUUAUUAAAAUAAGCACUGCAAAAUAUAAAGGACUCACAGUUUUAAAAUGGGACACACGUUCUCUAAGCGGUGAACCACUUUAGAGGUGUACUGUUUACAUUGUAUAAAGUCCCCUGGAGCCAGGGUUAGGAAGCGCAUCUGUUCUUUGGUGUUCUGGGAUGAAGGAGAAAGGAAAAUGUGCUGCCAGAAGUGAGUGGGAAGGAGCCCAUGAGAUAAAGGAAGUAAAUCCAUUUGCUGAUUGCAAUAAUAAUGGUAAUACACGAAGCUAUACAUACAUACAUACAUACAUACAUACAUACAUGCAAACUUUCACAUUUUUUAAAAAAAGAACUUAAGGCUUCCACACAUGUAAUCAGCCCUUAUGAACUCUCCUGAUUAGCUGCAAGGAAAAUCUUCCUUUCUCCUUUUUCCUGCACCAUCCUGGGCUCCCUUUUGACUUUUUUUUUUUUUUUUUUUUUUUAACUUAUAAACGAUCAGCUCAUAUUCCGAAGUUUGUAGUCCCCUCCCGUCCCCUCUCUCUCUAUACCGCUCAUUUACAUUGGCAGCUGUCGUGCUGCUGGGCAUCCUCAAACCCACCAGUUUCCCUUUUAUGUUUGAGCAGACAAACAUGAUCAUGCACUAGGCAUCACUGUGCCACUCAAAAUGCUUUGUUUUUUUAUUGCAUCUGAGAGAAAUCUCAAGGUUGCAAACCUGGAGUCAGAAUUGUCUCCAUGUGUCUCAGUGGGAAGAGUAUCGUGUGAAGAAAUAAGUUGAUUCUACUAAUCAAAAGGAAUUUUUUUUGAUAUCAGGUCAUCCUCCGAAUGAAUUUAUAUUACCGAGUGGAGGGUCACAUGAAGAAAAUGGUCAAACAGCACCACCUACAGCAAGAGCUGAGAAGUGCAGCGGAGCCGGGCUGAGUCAGGAAAGAAAAGCAAGCUGGGGCCUGGCUCAGAGCUCUCCCCUCUGCUCCUGUCUGCACGGAAAGAUUAGGAUGACAGUGGCAGGAAGCCUGUGCACCUAGUAUGCAUCACUUGAAGGGAACACACAGAUUCCAGUAAACAGUUGGAAGGAAAUGUUAAUACCAGGCUCUGCUAAACAAUAUGAAAUGACUCCUAGAUGAGACAAGUGACUUUCAUCAAAGUUUCCUGAUACCUGAAAAGAUAGCCCAGGUGAUCCUGCACUACAUCUGCUGUAUGUAAAUUAAGCGGGUUUUUUUCCCCUUUGUAAUCAAGGCUCAUACACAAACAAAAUCACACUUUAGAAACGGCUUAUUUCAACUUGUAACUAGCUUGCUUUCAGGGGCUCCAGGUCAAAAAGAAAUAGAGCACAAAGACGCUUUCUCCUUAGGGAUCAUACACAAAUUCACUCUGUCCGUUUCUUUCCCACAUGGAGCAACAAAGCCAUCAGACCUCUCCAUCCACCCAUCGGGUCCUUCCUGAUUAAAGUGAGAUAAAUCACAGCCCUCUCUCUCCAGAUGGCAGGCGACAAGAGGGGGAUGCUUGCCUCAAGAAGUCCUCCCCAUCCCUCUGCAUUCAUGCAAGCCCGAGCGGAGAGAUGCAAGAAAUUAUGGAUGCAUUUUAAUUGCCCAGACCCUGCAAUUAAAAAUGGAAAUUUUUUGGCCACGCGUGUUGGCUCACGCCUGUAAUCCCAGCACUUUCGGAGGCCGAGGUCGGCGGAUCAUUUGGGGUCAGGAGUUCGAGACCAGCCUGGCCAACAUGGUGAAACCCUGUCUCUACUGAAAAUACAAAAAUUAGCUAGGAAUGGUGGUGGGAGCCUGUCGUCCCAGCUACUCGGGAGGAUGAGGCAGGAGAAUCACUUGAACCCGGGAGGCAAAGUUUGCAGUGAGCCAAGAUCGCACCACUGCACUCCACUCUGGGUGACAAAGCAAGACUUCAUCUCAAAAAAUGUUUUUUAAAAAUGGAAGUGUUGUUCUUUCAUUUGUAAAUGUGUUUUGGUAAAAGAGGGGCAGUUUAAGCAACCCUUUUUUGUUGUCUACAUUGUUAAAAUUCAUCAGACAUGGACUCUUGACUCCGUUUUGCCUGGGCAGACCCAAUUCAAGCAUUUACAACAGCUAUAACUUCCUCAAAUCAAAAAGAGGAAUCAGCAUUAUUGCUAAGUUCAAAUAAGGUCUUGUUUUAUUUCAUUUUUAUUUUUGAAUGCAGCCAUUCCUCCAGGUGCUAUCAUCAGGUAAGAUUGUCAGUCCUGAUUAGGUAAAGGUAUUAUUACAAAAUGCAAUUCUUAAAAAUUCAGUGUCUAACUACACUUUUAAUAAGCCUUUCCCCCUCCCCUAUGUAUUCUCCCUUAGACACCCCUUCUCAAAUUUAAAAUCACAGAAACUAAAAUAUGAUGCCUAAAGAGAGCCUAGCAACUGCCCAGUCCUCUAAUUUGAUGAGUGGGAGUACUGAAGCCCAGAGGAGGUCAAGUAAUUUGUUCCCAAUGUCUUAGAUAAGAAGAAAAUGACCAGCUGGGAAAUCCCACUCAUGUCAAGGCAGAGGCACAGGGCCACAGACUGUGGUUGAAUUGUGCCACACUCCUACAUCCUUCUUUAGGAAUCACAGAACAUUCCUGUGUUGAGUUGGAGUCACUGACUUCCUUUUCAGGCUGAUUGAGUUCUGUCCUUACAGGCUGCGACAAGAAGUUUUGGUAUUAUGCUACACCAAGACCAUUUAUCUAGUUCAAGAAAUGAGCACAGUCCUUAGAGCCCAGCAACUUUCCCCAUGUCCAGUAAAUGUAGCUUCUCCAUUAGAAGCUGUCAGAAUGGAGCCUUCUGGCUCAUCUUGAUUUUGAUUUGUGCAAGAAUGAAUGGUUGUGCUAAGACAGCUUUCCUAGCUGAUAGUGAGCAAAACUUUUUUCUCAUAAUCUAUAAAAAAAUAUUAAAUUAGAAGCACAGAGUUUAUUUCAUGACUUUUAUCUUCCUGCAAUUUUCUUAUGGGCAUAAAUGAUUUGUUUUUAUCCUGCCUGCCCCCCCAAUCCCUUUUCCAAGAGACUAAAAGAGUAUCUAGUGCAAAGUAGAUACUCAAAUAUUUUUUAAUAAACAGUGAUCCCAGCCACCCAGUGCAUGUUGCCAAAUGCCAACCCCAUAAAUGAUCAAACACAUCAUCUCAUUCAGCCAAUCAAAAUCAAGUGCUACCUAUUUUUUUAAGUUUUCAUAGCCCUUGGGCAUCUGCUUUCUCAGCAUUUCCCAAACUUGAGUCAUUCUCAUCCUGCCUUCAUAAUUUUGCUCUGUCAAUUACCUCUACUAUUAUUUAUUUCAUAUAUUUUUAAAUAGCCCCACUUUUGAAACUUAAAUACAUGCCUUUUAAAAGGAAGCUUUCUUACUACUAUACAUCAAAAGCCAUUAUUACUUGUUCUAAGUACUCAUAACAACAUAUUCACAACUAUUAAAAUUUAGUAAUGUGCAUCCACAUACUCUCUAAAUUCAUGGAGCAUCUGCACACACUUUAAGAAACAAUUCUGCAUUACUCACUCAAUUUUCUUGACAUCCUUCUGAGGCAGGACAAACCUUGGGCCCAAAGAAUUGAGGUAGGAGUCCAAGCAAGUUGCCAGCCACAUAAAGGCAAACCUUGGCUCGGAAGUCAGGACCUAGGUUAUGGUUCAUGCUCUUUCCUCUGCUCUCCAGAACCUCCUAUCUCCAAGUGUAGUUAGCAGCCCAGAUGCAGCAGCAUCCCCUAGAGACUUGUUAAAAAUGCAGAAGCUCAGGCUCCACCCCAGGCCUAUGCAGACUGAAUCUGCAUUUUAACAAGGUCCAGGUAAUUCACGUGCACAUUAAGUUUGAAAAGGCCUGGUCUAGAUCAGCAGUUCUCUAACUUAGCAGCACAUUAGAACCAUCUGUAGAGACUUUAAAAAUACCAGUGCCUGGGCUUCAUCUCCCGGAGAAUCUGAUUUAAGUGUCUGGGGUUUGCCCUGAGUCUAGGUAUUUUUUAGAACUCCUCAGCUUAUACAAAGCUGGCAGGGCCGGGCACAGUGGCUCAUGCCUAUAAUCCCAGCACUUCGUGAGGCCAAAGUGGGCAGAUUGCUUGAGUCCAGGAGUUUGAGACUAGCCCGGGCUAAAACCCCAUCCCUACAAAAAAAAAAAUACAAAAAGUAGUUGGGCAUGGUGGUGGCACAUACCUGUAGUCCCGGCUACUCAGGAGGCUGAGUCCUCGCUUGAACCCAGGAGGUCACGGUCUGGUCAACAGAGCAAGACCCUGUAUCAAAACAAACAAACAAAAAAUGCUAGCAGCUUACCAGCUAGGGAGGCCUGUACAGCCAAGUUUUCCAAAUGGGGCUACAUUAGUUGUUCCAGAACUUUAGCUGCAUCAAAACCACCUGGAUGGCUUGUUCAGCUACAGAGGGUCUGGCCAUGCCCCUAGAGUUUCCAGCUGAGGGUCUGGAAUGAGGCCCGAUGAUUUGCAUUUCUAACAAUCUCCAGGCGAUGCUAAUGCUGUGGGUCCAGGGACCACAUUUUGAGAAUCUAUGCUAAAUGAACCGGACAAGAUCAAAGCUCAAACUUAUUCCAAGAACUUUUCAAGGCCCACCUGCAAGUUGUAGUGGAAGUAAGCAUCUAAGGGUGCAAAAAAGUUUCACUGUAGACUAAGGCCUUUUACCUGAGCUCUCAAAUGUUCACAUUUCUCUUAUCAACCUAAAUAACAAACAGAGAGAGGCUCUCCACAAGAAAAAGAUAUUCGUUUGGAAACAGAGCCUUGCAAUAGAAAUAGGCAAGCCAGAGUAAACUAUAUGCAUAUUCACGGAGGUAAAGGAAGACAAAAGAAAAAAUGAGGAAGAUUAUAUGAUCAUUUGGAAAUGAUUAUCCUUGGCUACAAAGAUCAAUAACAAAGGUGAUGCCAGGCCCAGGUUGGACAGGCAGUUGUUGGACAAAUAUCCUUCAGAAGCAUUGUUGUGUGCAAAGUUGCGAUGGGCUUUGUGCAAGAUUGUGUUUUUUGCAGUCUUCUGUGAUAAGUUUUUGUUAUCAGGCAUACAAGCCCAAGAAUCCUUUUUUGCAUGGCCUUCCCUGGCUCUAUUUGUCAGGGUUUUGGUUAGGGGAGGGGUAUUUUUAACACUCUCAAUGUAAAAAAUGCCAUAAGGUAGGUACCCCAAUUGCUUGUUUCGUCUUCAUAAAAUAACUUUUCCACCCGAACAAAGUCUACACAUAAAUUGUAAAAAUACCCUGGCAUGCAGUCCCUGGAAAAGUUUGGAGUCAUUCUCGGGGUUCCCACCCAGGUGGGCGAGUGUAGCCACCACAGAUAAACACAAAGUAGGGGUGCCCGCUGGGGUUUGGUGGCAGGCAGUGGCCCUGGUUGGUAUAUUUGGCUGAAAACACAGCUCCUCUUUGUCACCCUCAGGAAGCCAUCCCAAACCGCUCGAGGAGUCCUUGAAGCCAAUGUUACCACUAGGGCAGCAAGUUUGCCUGAAAGCUAUUUGCCUUUGCAGCAGAUUCAUUAAGCCAGAACAAAGAGAAGACCAAUGACUAAAAGAUUUCUCUCCUUUUAAAAAUCAUGCUCUUUAACUCAUAGCACAUUUUCAUUGUCCAUCUGGGCAAAGCCGCUGUCUCAUUUUGCUUUUUCCCUCGUCUGUGAUGCUCACACUCAUCCUCCCUAUCCCAUCAGCAACCUCUCUAGUAUGUUUGAUAUGUGUCCUUAAACUUUAUAUCUUGGCCGGGGGCGCGGUGGCUGUAAUCUCAGCACUUUGGGAGAUGGAGGUGGGUCUAUCACUUGAGCCCAGGAGUUUGAGAUCAGCCUGAGCAACAUAGUAAGAUUUCAUCUUUACUAAAAAUAAAAAACAAAAAAAAUUUAGCGAGGUAUGGUGGCCU